AAAUUGCAUACAUUAGAAGUGUGGGGGCUUUUGUGUGAUUUGUGGAUUGGAGCAUGAUAGCAUCUGGUCUUGUUUGCACACAAUAAUUCUUCUUAGAGUUUAUUAAACUGGAGUACGUGUUCUAUUUCCUUUUCUUCGUUUAUACACGUAGAGAGAGAGAGAGAGAGAGAAAGAGAGAAGAAUGGCAAGAAGGAGGAAGAAGAGGAGAAUAAGGAAAAACCUAGGAAUUUUAUCUCUUUGCUUAAACUGAGGUAACGAGCUGACUAAUCGGGAGGUGCCAAAACCGUGAUUUGGCAUACUUCGGUCGACUCACAGAUAGCAGGGGUUUGUAGGAUGGUCCACUACCGGUCGGCGUUUUGGGGUUGGCUUAUAGGUUGUUGUUUGUGUCGGUGGUUGUGAAUCGUCUUGUACAUAUUAUCGACUCGUUUUGUAGCAAGGAUGUAUUACACUUUAGUAUGCCAAGUAUGUAAUGGUAUGGGUUUGAUGUUGGCUCUUUUGUUAAUAUUAAUGUUAAG